AUCUUAACGACUGACUGGAAUGAAGUGAUCUUGACCGGCUGCAACGAACUGAUGAUAACGGCUGCGAUAAAUUUAUCUAGACGAUUGCGGAUGUUAAAGUUUUGACGAUGAAGUAUUUUCUGCACGUACUUCGACUGCACGCGCCCCCUUGCACGAGUCGUUCAUUUGCGUUUUCCUGUCGUCAAAGACUAUAAGCCAUUGCGUUACGUUGUUUCUGCAAGUACCUCCUUGGUCAGUUUUAUCUCUGCACGUGUGGCUCUUGGGUGCGCUCCGAUGCCAAGAGUGAAAGAGGUAUGACGUAUUUGCAUUCCUGCACGUACUUCAUGUCCUCCUUUGCCUUCUCGUAUUUCUUUACUACGUGUCUUAUAGAUAGUUCUAAUUUAUUUAUUAACUACAAGCUUUAAAUGAUUAUUCUUAUGGGAAGGAUAGAGGGGAAACAAAUGAAAAAUGGUAUCGCUCUACAAGCACACGUAUUCAUGCUUAUAAGGGUUUCUCUUCUUUAAGGUGUCUUUCAUAGUUUCUGGUUGACCUACACACGAAGACGUGACACCUGUCCCCUUAAGUAAAUCGCUCGGAGUUCGGUGCUUCGGUGACUUAGUACCCCGUAUUGCAAUUGUUUUCUCGAGGAUAGGGUAAUUUACCGAUGUCCCUACGGCGGGGGUUGGAGUCGCAACGCUACCUUCUGCUAGCAUUGGUUUUCAUAUUUGACACUUACUUAAAAACUUACUGGUUUUGUUGUCGUUCAUAACCUUGUCCUUGUGGCUCCUCGGUGGUUGUUGUCGUAAAAGCAGAUGUAUCAAUGAACUCCAGAUUGCACCUAGCUGGUGUAAAUUCCAACCAUACCGUGAGUGGACCACGUAUCCUCGGAUAACCGAAUCAACAGAAAUUUUAAUGCCCUUUGUUAUUAUAAAUAGUCGAAUAACACCGGCACUCGCUGAUCGGAACACUAAACAUCCUUGCCAAAAUUUCGAGAGGGUGUUCUCGGUUAUUUUAAUGAGAUCACCUUCUCGUAGUAGAUUGUAGAAUGAGAUGGUGUUUGGAACAUAGUGUCCAUUUGCUCCUCUCGUUAUAUUAUUUAGAAGACUAGGUCUUCCUACUGAGAACAUGUUGUGAUCCCUUAGGAUCUUCAGGUCUUGCUGGGAGUAGAUUCCACUCGUCAUCAAGUGGUGCAUAUAGCCAGGAACGAAAUUAUUUGUAAUCGGAGGCAAUCCCGAAUAUAUCAAACUGCACAGAGGAUCUUCAAAUUACGGUUACAUCCGAAUAUAAUUUUUUAUACCACUGCUAUAGCAAAGAAAUAUGUCUUUGUCUUAUCUGGAUAACUUUACAAAAAAAGUAAUUUAUAUUGAUAAGUAAAAUUAGUCGCGAAUUGACGGAGGGAAAUUUAGUUAAGGACACUUCUAGAUUUUUUAUUUGAAUUGUCGCACGAAAGAGGAAAAUAUUCGGAGCAAGAUAUCCGCGAUAAAAGGAAUACAAUAAUUAUAGCUGUAAGUCGUAUUUAUUAUUUAGUUGUAAUAAAAAUUUGUUUAUUAAA